AUGGUGUGGUUUGCAUUUGGAGCCUUGAUGACCUGUAUUUUUAUUACCCUUAUAAUUGAUGACGUUCAGGAAAUGCGUUCCAAUCUCUCCAAAGAGGUGCAGCAAUUGAAAAUCCUAUGCAGAGCAGAGAUUUUCAAAGCAAGUAAUAUGGAGGCAAUAAGCCAGACAAACCAACUGAAGGACCACAAACCUGUCAAAGAUGAGGAAAAACAUGAAAGUCCAAAUGCUCGUUUGGAAACAUGAAACCAUACCUCGAAACAUGAGCUAGAGUGGGACAUGGGUCUGGAUGCGUUUAUUCAGGCGGAUGAGUUUCAGGAUGACUGUGAGACAGAGUGCUGGCGUGAGGACAAUCUCUGCAGGUACUUUGAGCUGAUAGAAAAGCUCCAGCGCAACCUAGAGGAGAUGGACCAGCUUCAGGAUAUAUUAGGUGGGAAUGAACGCCAAGCGUUUUCAUGAUCAGUGAUUGCAACUGCAACAUUACAUUUGAUCCAGUCUGGAUAGAGUAUUUUCAUUCAAACAUACAAUGCUGCAGUGCAAAAUAUUUUCCUCUUUAAUGGCAUUUUACCUAAUCAUAAUCUAAUUCAUUUAUUAUAAAAAAAGAACACCAAUUACUUAUUAUCUGUUGUGACACAGUUCAGGGUUUCCUUAACCUGCACGACUGCUCAGAAAAGUAAUAAGAAUGCAUCAGCAAACCUGCUCUAUGAAUUCUGUUCGUCGUCACGAACACUGGAUUGGUUAGACAAUGAAAGAUGUGUUUUUUUAUACAGUUCACUCAUUCAUAAUAAAAUGUAUAUUUUGAAUACUUUCUGAAAUGACAUUCGUA
rnacentral:lncRNA from 1 species